UCAAGCAUGAGAUAUGCAAGUAGCACAAGCUGGUGUAAAAUCAUAUGCAGGACUAACAUUUUUCGGGUCCCUCGUUGCUCAAAAUGUGGCUGUCAUGUAGGAGUGUGAAGUUCUAAGAAACUGAGGGAGACAGCUUUGGGUACUCAGAGAGCAAUGGCUUUCUUUUUCCUCCAUCCUUCUCAUCCUUACACCAAAUCAAAGUGCUUUAAAGGAUGCCCAAAACUGAGGAAAACUGCACGCUGGAUGUCUUCUUGACCCAUUCCCCAACCCCAGCGCCUAGGUGCAGGCGUAAAACCUGGAGCUCAAGCCGGUAGCCCUGGGAGAGCACCUGCAUGGCUGAUCACCUGAUCUUAAAGCCAAAUGGCUGUGAGGAAGCUAAACCAGGAAUACAAUGAUCGAUGUCGGCACCAGGGGAGAUCGGCUG